rnacentral:tRNA from 1 species
GACCCGGUGGCGCAGUGGCAAGCGCGUCCCUUUAUCUUGUCAGGGAAGGCUCCUGUUCGAUUCAGGACUGGGUCG